AGCUCAAUUGGUAGAGCAUCGCCCUUUUAAGGCGAGGGCGGUUGGGGGUUCGAGCCCCUCC
rnacentral:tRNA from 1 species